CCUACGGGUGGCUGCAGUGGGGAAUAUUGCACAAUGGGCGCAAGCCUGAUGCAGCAACGCCGCGUGAGUGAUGAAGGCCUUCGGGUUGUAAAACUCUGUCCUAUGGGAAGAAACAAAUGACGGUACCAUAGGAGGAAGCCCCGGCUAACUACGUGCCAGCAGCCGCGGUAAUACGUAGGGGGCAAGCGUUAUCCGGAAUCACUGGGCGUAAAGGGUGCGUAGGCGGCUUAUCAAGCCAGGGGUGAAAGGCAUUGGCUCAACCAAUGUAAGCCUUUGGAACUGAUAGGCUUGAGUGCAGGAGAGGUAAGUGGAAUUCCUAGUGUAGAGGUGAAAUUCGUAGAUAUUAGGAGGAACACCAGUGGCGAAGGCGACUUACUGGACUGUAACUGACGCUGAGGCACGAAAGCGUGGGUAGCGAACAGGAUUAGAUACCCCAGUAGUC
rnacentral:rRNA from 1 species